rnacentral:RNase_P_RNA from 1 species
GGAGUGGGCCGAGCAGUCGCGGGAGCGAUCCCGAGGAAAGUCCGGGCACCACAGGGCAGGACGCCGGGUAAUUCCCGGAGGCCGUGAGGUCAUGGAACGCGCUACAGAAAAGAACAGCCGGCAAGCAGGUUGAAGCCCCCGUGGCUGAUUCCGCCGGCAACGGUGAAACGGUGGGGUAAGAGCCCACCAGCGGCAUGGCAACAUGCCGGCUCAGGCAAACCCGUCCGGUGCAAGGAGAGACGGGCAUGCGGGCUGCCCGGCCCGCCCGUCGCCAAUCCGCGCAAGCCAUCCGGCAACGGCUGGCUCAGACAGAUGGCUGCAUAGACAGAACCCGGCUUAUGGCCCACUCCAUUU